GAAAGUAAUAAAGGGCGUAUGGGGGAUGCCUAGGCUCUUGGAGGCGAAGAAAGACGUGGUAAGCUGCGAUAAGCCUCGGGGAUUUGCAAACGAGAAUUGAUCCGAGGAUUUCUGAAUGGGACAACCCGGCAGGCAGAAGGCCUGUCACACGAAAGUGGGCCAACCCUCUGAACUGAAACAUCUUAGUAGGAGGAGGAAAAGAAAGAAACAUCGAUUUCCUAAGUAGCGGCGAGCGAACGGGAAACAGCCUAAACCACAAUUGUUACGGCAACUGUGGGGUUGUAGGACUGCAAUAUUCAAAUGACUGUGAACUGGAAUGUUCUGGAAAGUUCAUCCAUAGAGAGUGAAAGACUCGUACAGGCAAGCACGUCAGGCGAUAGCAGUAUCCUGAGUAGGGCGGGACACGAGGAAUCCUGUCUGAAUCCGCCGGGACCACCCGGUAAGGCUAAAUACUCCCAAGAGACCGAUAGUGAACCAGUACCGUGAGGGAAAGGUGAAAAGAACCCCGAACAGGGGAGUGAAAUAGAACCUGAAACCAUACGCUUACAACCUGUCGGAGCGGCUUCGUGCCGUGACGGCGUGCCUAUUGAAUAAUGAGCCUACGAGUUACUAAUCACUGGCAAGGUUAAGUGCACGGAUGCACGGAGCCGAAGCGAAAGCGAGUCUGAAUAGGGCGUUUAGUCAGUGGUUGUAGACGCGAAACCUUGCGAUCUACCCUUGAGCAGGUUGAAGGUUGGGUAAAACCAACUGGAGGACCGAACGAAUAAGCGUUGAAAAGCUUCUCGAUGACUUGAGGGUAGGGGUGAAAGGCUAAUCAAGCUGGGAAAUAGCUCGUACUCCCCGAAAUGCCUUUAGGGGCAGCGUUGUAAUUAAGAGUCUACUGGAGGUAGAGCUACUGAUUGGAUGCGGGGGCUUCACCGCCUACCAAAUCCUGACAAACUCCGAAUGCCAGUAGUAUGAUUUACAGCAGUGAGCGACCGGGUGCUAAUGUCCGGUUACGAGAGUGGAACAACACAGACCAGCAACUAAGGUCCCCAAGAGUAUACUAAGUUGAUCUAACGAUGUUUUGCUGCAGAGACAGCUAGGAUGUUAGCUUGGAAGCAGCUAUUCAUUCAAAGAGUGCGUAACAGCUCACUAGUCGAGCGGCAAAGCGUGGAUAAUAAACGGGCAUCAAGUAUACCACCGAAGUUCUGGGCACGAAAGUGCGGUAGGGGAGCAUUCCAUUCCGCGUUGAAGCCGAACCGUGAGGUUUGGUGGAGUGUAUGGAAAAGCAAAUGUAGGCAUGAGUAACGAUAAUGCGGGAGAGUAACCCGCACACCGCAAGACCAAGGUUUCCUGAUCAACGCUAAUCGGAUCAGGGUUAGUCGGGUCCUAAGGGUAAGCCGAACGGUGAUCUCGAUGGAUAAUCGGUUAAUAUUCCGAUACUGACAUAUACCUCGAUGGAGAGACGAAGGAACGUAAGUGCCGCCACCUGACGGAAUAGGUGGUUAAAGGGCUUAGGUAUAGGGGCAGAUUAAGAGUUAGUCCUUGCUGAAACCUGACAGUACAGAGAGCCUACGGGCAAUUUGAUAGUGCACCCAAGUCGACUUCCGAGAAAAUCUUCUAAGUUAUAGUAUAUGUCACCCGUACCGUAAACCGACACAGGUGGUCGAGGAGAGUAUCCUAAGGUGCUCGAGUGAAUCACGGUUAAGGAACUAGGCAAAUUAACCCCGUAACUUCGGGAAAAGGGGUCCCAUCGCGAGGUGGGCGCAGCGAAGAGGUCCAGGCGACUGUUUAUCAAAAACACAGGGCUCUGCAAAUUCGAAAGAAGACGUAUAGGGCCUGACACCUGCCCGGUGCUGGAAGGUUAAGAGGGGAUGUCAUCGCAAGAGAAGCAUUGAAUCGAAGCCCCAGUAAACGGCGGCCGUAACUAUAACGGUCCUAAGGUAGCGAAAUUCCUUGUCGGGUAAGUUCCGACCUGCACGAAUGGUGUAAUGAU
rnacentral:rRNA from 1 species